ensembl:lncRNA
GUGUAGAAUUUAUGACACAGCUGUUUGCUUCCUGCUAAGCCAAAAGUGUGGUUGAGAACGUGGCUGUUUUCUUGUCUGGCAAUGUUUUGGCCUCUUCAGAAGUUUUGUUCCGUGUUGGCUUUUGCAGUUUUAGGAGGUGGCCAGGGGAGAAAUUUGGGAGCUUUCCAAAGGGAUAACAGUGAGAUCUCUCUCCUUAAAGGAACUGGGCAUUAAACUGAAUUUCUUGUGUUCUGUUUGAGAAGCUGAAUCAUUUUGAGUGUUUGGACCAAGUCCCUCUCCUGAUCUUGCUUUGCAAUUUUCAGAUACAAAGAAUCUUUCUUGGUGACUUUAGUCAAGAGCAGGUACUGCAAAAAAAUGUGGUUCUGAGGAAAAAUUUUUUGUCAAUACUGAUCAUCUUUAAUUGUGUUCUAAUAGAUGCUGGCAGCUUUCUUUGGAACAGACAGCAGGUGGUGCAACUACCCCACUUAAAGCUACUGAACCAGCAGUUCCUGGCUAGGCUGGCACAGCGAGGGAUUCUGUGCAUCGAGUGGGAUGUUGCCUGGAGCUGAGAAUGGCUUGUUCUGUGACCUGCUUUCAUGCCAGUUUGCAGAGCUGCCAGCAGAGUCUACCUAGCUAGAUUUUCUAAUAGCUAGGACUCAUGAUGCUUCCAGCAGGAUUCAUCCUCUUUGCCCUACUGAUAGGUACAUGUGUCCUCGACCUGCCAAUGCCUCCCUCAGUGGUUGCAGCUUCAGACCCCUACAUGUGCAGGGUGGGGUGGUUUCCCCUCGCAGCUCUAACACUGCUGUGCUCCUCUUCCCCCAGGGCUGAAGCACUGUGGGCAACUCUUGCUUGUGCCUUGAAUCUGCAACUGCACCAGCAAGGGCUGCUUGGGAAGCAAAACAGUGCAUCCCAGGAGCACAUAGAACAGGCAUAGCUGGCACAGUGCUGCAGCUCUGUUGUUCUUCACCUGGAUGUUUCUUGCAGGAGCCUCUACUUCAAAUCCUACACUGCAGGGUGGGACUGCAAGGUCAUGGAGGACAGGAGAGGUGCCUGAAGACUGGAAGAAAGCCAAUGUCACCCCAGUCUUCAAAAAGGGCCAGAAGGAGGACCCAGGGAACUACAGGCCAGUCAGCCUCACCUGCAUCCCUGGAAAGGUGAUGGAGCAGCUCAUCCUGGAGGCCAUCUCCAAGCAUGUGGAGGAAAAGAAACCACCUAGGCUGUACCUGACACCACACUGGAGUCCUGCAGACCCCCUCCUGGGAGUGCUCCCCUCUGGGCAGGUGGGUGCCACCAGGAGCUGUGAUUCUGACCAGCUCUGCUCACUGUGAGGGGCAGGACAGUUGGGAUUUUGGCAGUUGUGAUGUGUGCUUGCCAGACCUGAACUGCAUCUUCAGGAAUAGCUCCUCAUCUUCAGGCACUGCCCAGCCCUUUCCCCUGGCUCUUCUCCUGCUCCUUCCAGCCAGGCAGCAGGUGACCUUUUGGAGAGAAAUGAUCCCAGCAUCAAUGUGGUAUUUUGCAUGCUGUCCCCUUGGGAUCCAUAAGUAUUUAUAGGCCAAGACUGGGUUAUUCUAAUCCUCUGCUUUGAGAUGUGCUGGCAAGGUUUGGCCACCUGGGGGUGGGGGUGGCUCCUCCGGGCAUUUUGCUUCCGGAUGAGAAUCUUGGAAAUGCUCCUGUGAUACUCACUGGGCUCUGGGCUGCCGAAGACUAGAGUGUCUCUGACAAGCUGCUUUGACAGUCUCUGACUACUCUUGCUCCCUGCACAGAAACCUGUCUGCAAAUGGGUUGCCUCUCCAUGAGCUGGUGCUGCACGUUCAGGCCCCCUG